rnacentral:rRNA from 1 species
CGAAUGCUGACAUAAGUAACGAUAAAGCGGGUGAAAAGCCCGCUCGCCGGAAGACCAAGGGUUCCUGUCCAACGUUAAUCGGGGCAGGGUGAGUCGACCCCUAAGGCGAGGCCGAAAGGCGUAGUCGAUGGGAAACAGGUUAAUAUUCCUGUACUUGGUGUUACUGCGAAGGGGGGACGGAGAAGGCUAUGUUGGCCGGGCGACGGUUGUCCCGGUUUAAGCGUGUAGGCUGGUUUUCCAGGCAAAUCCGGAAAAUCAAGGCUGAGGCGUGAUGACGAGGCACUACGGUGCUGAAGCGACAAAUGCCCUGCUUCCAGGAAAAGCCUCUAAGCAUCAGGUAACAUCAAAUCGUACCCCAAACCGACACAGGUGGUCAGGUAGAGAAUACCAAGGCGCUUGAGAGAACUCGGGUGAAGGAACUAGGCAAAAUGGUGCCGUAACUUCGGGAGAAGGCACGCUGAUAUGUAGGUGAAGCGACUUGCUCGUGGAGCUGAAAUCAGUCGAAGAUACCAGCUGGCUGCAACUGUUUAUUAAAAACACAGCACUGUGCAAACACGAAAGUGGACGUAUACGGUGUGACGCCUGCCCGGUGCCGGAAGGUUAAUUGAUGGGGUCAGCGCAAGCGAAGCUCUUGAUCGAAGCCCCGGUAAACGGCGGCCGUAACUAUAACGGUCCUAAGGUAGCGAAAUUCCUUGUCGGGUAAGUUCCGACCUGCACGAAUGGCGUAAUGAUGGCCAGGCUGUCUCCACCCGAGACUCAGUGAAAUUGAACUCGCUGUGAAGAUGCAGUGUACCCGCGGCAAGACGGAAAGACCCCGUGAACCUUUACUAUAGCUUGACACUGAACACUGGUCCUUGAUGUGUAGGAUAGGUGGGAGGCUUUGAAGUGUGGACGCCAGUCUGCAUGGAGCCGUCCUUGAAAUACCACCCUUUAAUGGCUGGUGUUCUAACGUGGGCCCGUAAUCCGGGUUGCGGACAGUGUCUGGUGGGUAGUUUGACUGGGGCGGUCUCCUCCUAAAGAGUAACGGAGGAGCACGAAGGUUGGCUAAUCCUGGUCGGACAUCAGGAGGUUAGUGCAAUGGCAUAAGCCAGCUUGACUGCGAGCGUGACGGCGCGAGCAGGUGCGAAAGCAGGUCAUAGUGAUCCGGUGGUUCUGAAUGGAAGGGCCAUCGCUCAACGGAUAAAAGGUACUCCGGGGAUAACAGGCUGAUACCGCCCAAGAGUUCAUAUCGACGGCGGUGUUUGGCACCUCGAUGUCGGCUCAUCACAUCCUGGGGCUGAAGUAGGUCCCAAGGGUAUGGCUGUUCGCCAUUUAAAGUGGUACGCGAGCUGGGUUUAGAACGUCGUGAGACAGUUCGGUCCCUAUCUGCCGUGGGCGCUGGAGAACUGAGGGGGGCUGCUCCUAGUACGAGAGGACCGGAGUGGACGCAUCACUGGUGUUCGGGUUGUCAUGCCAAUGGCACUGCCCGGUAGCUAAAUGCGGAAGAGAUAAGUGCUGAAAGCAUCUAAGCACGAAACUUGCCCCGA